CCUACGGGCGGCAGCAGUGGGGAAUAUUGGGCAAUGGGCGCGAGCCUGAACCAGCCAAGUAGCGUGAAGGAUGACUGCCCUACGGGUUGUAAACUUCUUUUAUAAAGGAAUAAAGUGAGGCACGUGUGCCUUUUUGUAUGUACUUUAUGAAUAAGGAUCGGCUAACUCCGUGCCAUCAGCCGCGGUAAUACGGAGGAUCCGAGCGUUAUCCGGAUUUAUUGGGUUUAAAGGGAGCGUAGAUGGGUUGUUAAGUCAGUUGUGAAAGUUUGCGGCUCAACCGUAAAAUUGCAAUUGAUACUGGCAGUCUUGAGUACAGUUGAGGUAGGCGGAAUUCGUGGUGUAGCGGUGAAAUGCUUAGAUAUCACGAAGAACUCCGAUUGCGAAGGCAGCUUACUAAACUGCCACUGACAUUGAUGCUCGAAAGUGUGGGUAUCAAACAGGAUUAGAUACCCGGGUAGUC
rnacentral:rRNA from 1 species